UAGGCUCAAGCAAUCCUACUGCCUCAGCCUCCCGAAGUGCUGGGAUUGCAGGUAUGAGCCACCAUGCCUGGCCCCAGAAAUAUUCUGAACGAAAGUUACCAAACUAGAAAUUCCUUUGACAGUAUAUAGGCAAAAAGUUUUCAUUGUUUUCAUAAGGAAAUACUUCUAAAAGUGCCAUAUUAUCAGGAAGUUAAUCAAUCAAUAAUAAACUAUAAUGUUUUGAUUAAUUUUGGUGAAAAUAGCUAUAGU
rnacentral:lncRNA from 10 species